UGGCAGAGGUCACUGCUAUCGGGGUUCGAUUAAGCCAUGCGAGUCGAGAGGGUUCGGCCCUCGGCGUACUGCUCAGUAACACGUGGAUAACCUGCCCUAAGGAAGGGGAUACCCCCGGGAAACUGGGUAUAAUACCCUAUAGAUUACAGAUGCUGGAAUGCCCUGUAAUCGAAAGUUCCGACGCCUUAGGAUGGAUCUGCGGCCGAUUAGGUUGUUGUCGGGGUAAUGGCCCAACAAGCCAGUGAUCGGUACGGGUUGUGGGAGCAAGAGCCCGGAGUUGGAUUCUGAGACACGAAUCCAGGCCCUACGGGGCGCAGCAGGCGCGAAAACUUUACAAUGCGGGCAACCGUGAUAAGGGAACCUCGAGUGCCUGUAUAUGCAGGCUCCAGGUGUCUAAAACACACCUGAAGAAAGGGCCGGGCAAGACCGGCGCCAGCCGCCGCGGUAAUACCGGCGGCUCGAGUGGUGGCCACUUUUAUUGGGCUUAAAGCGUUCGUAGCUGGGUCGUUAAGUCUCUUGGGAAAUCCGGCAGCUCAACUGUCGGGCGUCUAAGAGAUACUGGCGAUCUUGGAACCGGGAGAGGUGAGGGGUUCUUCGGGGGUAGGAGUGAAAUCCUGUAAUCCUCGAGGGACCACCUGUGGCGAAGGCGCCUCACCAGAACGGCUUCGACAGUGAGGGACGAAAGCUGGGGGAGCAAACCGGAUUAGAUACCCGGGUAGUCCCAGCCGUAAACGAUGUGCGUUAGGUGUAUCAACGACCACGAGUCGUUGAGGUGCCGAAGGGAAACCGUGAAACGUACCGCCUGGGAAGUACGGUCGCAAGGCUGAAACUUAA
rnacentral:rRNA from 1 species